UAAGCACGACUCCCGAAAAUGGAUAUCUCGGCUCUCGCAUCGAUGAAGAACGUA
rnacentral:rRNA from 1 species